CAGUCGCCGCGGGAAUACAGAGGGUGCGAGCGUUAAUCGGAUUUACUGGGCGUAAAGCGUGCGUAGGCGGCUUCUUAAGUCGGAUGUGAAAUCCCUGAGCUUAACUUAGGAAUUGCAUUCGAUACUGGGAAGCUAGAGUAUGGGAGAGGAUGGUAGAAUUCCAGGUGUAGCGGUGAAAUGCGUAGAGAUCUGGAGGAAUACCGAUGGCGAAGGCAGCCAUCUGGCCUAAUACUGACGCUGAGGUACGAAAGCAUGGGGAGCAAACAGGAUUAGAUACCCGGGUAGUCCCUGUCUCUUAUAU
rnacentral:rRNA from 1 species